UACGAAGGGGGCUAGCGUUGCUCGGAAUCACUGGGCGUAAAGGGUGCGUAGGCGGGUCUUUAAGUCAGGGGUGAAAUCCUGGAGCUCAACUCCGGAACUGCCUUUGAUACUGAAGAUCUUGAGUUCGGGAGAGGUGAGUGGAACUGCGAGUGUAGAGGUGAAAUUCGUAGAUAUUCGCAAGAACACCAGUGGCGAAAGGCGGCUCACUGGCCCGAUACUGACGCUGAGGCACGAAAGCGUGGGGGAGCAAAACAGG
rnacentral:rRNA from 1 species